rnacentral:rRNA from 2 species
ACUGAGACACGGCCCAGACUCCUACGGGAGGCAGCAGUAGGGAAUCUUCCGCAAUGGACGAAAGUCUGACGGAGCAACGCCGCGUGAGUGAUGAAGGCUUUCGGGUCGUAAAACUCUGUUGUUAGGGAAGAACAAGUACGAGAGUAACUGCUCGUACCUUGACGGUACCUAACCAGAAAGCCACGGCUAACUACGUGCCAGCAGCCGCGGUAAUACGUAGGUGGCAAGCGUUAUCCGGAAUUAUUGGGCGUAAAGCGCGCGCAGGCGGUUUCUUAAGUCUGAUGUGAAAGCCCACGGCUCAACCGUGGAGGGUCAUUGGAAACUGGGGAACUUGAGUGCAGAAGAGAAAAGCGGAAUUCCACGUGUAGCGGUGAAAUGCGUAGAGAUGUGGAGGAACACCAGUGGCGAAGGCGGCUUUUUGGUCUGUAACUGACGCUGAGGCGCGAAAGCGUGGGGAGCAAACAGGAUUAGAUACCCUGGUAGUCCACGCCGUAAACGAUGAGUGCUAAGUGUUAGAGGGUUCCGCCC